UUGUAGUUGAUGAGAACCUAUGACUCAGAAUCUCCAUGCUAACAGCUGUACUUUUACCAGCAUCCCGUCCCAUGAUCAAAGCCGAUUAAGACUGCACAAUCAACUUAUAAUUGCCAUUUUGUUUUGUUUGUUCUUAGAGUUAGCAACACAAGCUGCAUCAAACCAGGCGUUCAUGACUUGACCUAAAGUGACGCACCAGAGGUUCCAAAAGCAGAAACAUGCAACCCUGAAGAGCAGCCCACACCACAUCCCAGUGAUUUUCUGCGAGUGUAUCCAAAUAGCCUGAGGCCACAUGAAAGCUACAGAUCAAUGCAAUCAGUGAACACACCAACAACUUACAUCACCCGUACACAAUGUGGAAACAUGGAAAUGAGGGGGAUGACUCACUGACCAUUUAAGCCCUCCCGGACAGGGGAAGAGAGCAACAUCUGACCGACAGUAAACGAGCAGAGGAUCAAUUGGUUUAUACUGCUUCAAGCUCUGAGUUCAUGCACAUUAAGAGACCAGCUCCAGGUAACACACACAGCGUCGUGCGUACAAUUAGCCUGCUGACCUUUGAGGAGAUGGGUACAAAUGGGAGAGUUGUCGUUGUUGAAACACAAAUUGUUCACUGAGUGCAGAGUGGUACUCACUGCUAAGAGCUUCACCCCACAUACCGAAGAUAAUUAUCUCACCACACACAAAUAGAUGUGAUUAGUAGGAUGGGAAGGGGAUAACUUCUCAUUUACUCAUGCAUCACACGUCUAUGUCUCUGGCAUGUCUUGCUUACAGUGUCCAGGCCUUUGGUAUUGCCAGUAACAAGCAAUAUUUCGUAAACUUUAUAUGGGUAGUUAGACCCACUGUAUCAACAAUCUCAACACAACUGUUGAGACUGAAGCUGCUCCGUAUAAGAAACUAAUUACUCCUCAAGAAUUCAUUUGAUCUGUUGGCUGUUUUUGCUUAGUUUU